rnacentral:rRNA from 1 species
GUGUCAGCCGCCGCGGUAAUACGUAGGUGGCAAGCGUUGUCCGGAUUUAUUGGGCGUAAAGCGUGCGCAGGCGGUUUCUUAAGUGUGAUGUGAAAGCCCACGGCUUAACUGUGGAGGGUCAUUGGAAACUGGGAGACUUGAGUGCAGAAGAGGAAAGCAGAAUUCCAAGUGUAGCGGUGAAAUGCGUAGAGAUUAGGAGGAAUACCAGUGGCGAAGGCGACUUUCUGGACUGCAACUGACGCUGAGGCGUGAAAGCAUGGGGAGCAGACAGGAUUAGAUACCCUGGUAGUCCAUGCCGUAAACGAUGAGUGCUAAGUGUUAGGGGGUUUGCGCCCCUUAGUGCUGCAGCUAAAGCAUUAAGCACUCCGCCUGGGGAGUACGACCGCAAGGUUAAAACUUAAAUGAAUUGGCGG